AGGACGAACGCUGGCGGCGUGCUUAACACAUGCAAGUCACGGGGGCCCGCAAGGGUAACCGGCGAACGGGUGCGUAACACGUGAGCAACCUGCCUAGAUGUGGGGGAUAGCCGGCCCAACGGCCGGGUAAUACCGCAUACGGUCACGAGGAGGAGUCUCCUUGUGAAGAAACCUCCGGGGCAUUUAGAGGGGCUCGCGGCCUAUCAGCUAGUUGGCGGGGUAACGGCCCACCAAGCCUUCGAUCAGUAACUGGUGUGAGAGCACGACCAGUCACACGGGCACUGAGACACGGGCCCGACUCCUACGGGAGGCAGCAGUAAGGAAUAUUGGUCAAUGGACGCAAGUCUGAACCAGCCAUGCCGCGUGAAGGAUGAAGGCCCUCUGGGUUGUAAACUUCUUUUAUCUGGGACGAAAAAGGGUUUUCUAACUCACUUGACGGUACCAGAGGAAUAAGCACCGGCUAACUCCGUGCCAGCAGCCGC
rnacentral:rRNA from 1 species